UCCGAGUUUGUUCAUUGAUGGAGAGUGGCACUUAGAGCAAGAUACCCGACCUUGACUGGGGACCAAGCACGAAAUCCCUAAGAGGUGACAGGAAGAGAGAAGUCUGAAAGGUUAAGUGAGUUAACCAGAUGGUGUCAGAAGUGGAAUCCAAAGAACAGCUUCUAACAACCCCCAGGAGCGCUGAGCGUGGUUCCUACUCGGCCCAUUGUGCCCAUUGCUCUCUUGGAGCAGCUGGGGAUUGUGGCUAGAGUACAAUGGCACAAUCACGGGUCACCGCAACCUCCACCCCCUGGGUUCAAGUGAUUCCCCUGCCUCAGCCUCCUGAGUAGCUGGGAUUACAGAAUUUGAACAGAGAAGCUGAACCACUACAAGCAAUGUUAAGAAUUUAUUGCUGGAAUACCCCUUACACAAUUGAGAGAGCCAGUUAAGCUAUGUGAGCCUGCUACCCCUAGAACUGGAGCUGGGCUUGAAGUCUGUAAGACUAGGAAGGAAUGAGGAGGGCAGGACCAAAGUGGAACCUGUGAAGAUAAACUUGGCAUCCAUAUCUGUUUCUCAGCUGAACUGGCAGUGGUAUCUCAGCACCUCCAAGCCUCCAACUUUGAUGAUGUUCUGCAAAAGAGCUUGAACAAAUUGCCAAAACAUCAGCCCCUGACAUGAGCAGCUUUCAGAAAAACUGAAGGAGGAGAUCCAGGGGCAGUUUGAGAAGCUGCCAACCAAGCUGCUGCACUAUGCAGAUCCACCACAAUGUCAUAAACUGUGUGAGCAGCAACAGUGCGUGACCCCACACAGGUCUGAGUGUAAUUCUGGCUGCUGGAUUCCAGUUAGACUUUAAAUUCCAUGCAAAUUUCACUUGUGGCAAAUCUUAACUUAGAACUGAACAUGGAAGAGAAUACUGAGAAACUUAGAUCCAACUAACCUGACACUUUACAAAGCCACCACAGUCUAUCUUUUGUGAAGUCAUCGUCCAAUAUAUAUCCCUCUUUUAAUUAUACUAAACUCCCAAAUAAAUGCAAUGGCAAAAUCAUGAGUCUACCUAAUAGGAUUCAACCAUACUCUGUAUAACCAAAACUCACUCCCCUUUCCCAAAAGAGGAUUCAGAGUCUUUUUAGCCAUCUUUGGCUGAUAUUUAUUCCUCUUCUUACUGAACCAUGCUUUCUCAAAUGCUUAGAUAUAAUGCUUGCUACUAUGAACACAUGUCAGAUGGUAGAGGUACGGGAGGGAGAAUGAAAAAAAAUGACUUAUGUAUAAGAAAGAAAGAAAAUGAGUUACAUAUGUGUAUACACACAUGUAUGUAUUUAUAUUCAUAUCAAAAUAAGGAAGAAAUAUUAAUGAUUAUCAUUUCCUUUCUGCAACUUGAAAAAUUGUCAUAGCUGAUAGUUAUAAUGACCAUUUUCCAAUAUACCUUUUAUAUCCACUAUGACCUGGGUAAGCACCUUGAUGGGUGAUGCUUCCUUGCUUUGUAGGGUGACCUAAAUCUUUAUUUUUGAAGGUGUAGUCAUUAGAACUGCUGCCUCUAUUGAGUCAUUCUAGUUUCCACUGACUUUAACGACUGGACAUGGGAGUUCUAAGCAAUACCCUAUGGAAUAUCCUGAAUUCAGGAAUACUCUUCCUUAUCCCCAAUGUGUAGUAGUAACCCAAUUUUUCAUUGAUAUUCACUCAAUUUUUCAUUGAUAUUCAAGAUCAAUCUAGCAAAUACAAUAAAUCUCAUUUUUGCCUGUCGCUUUCUAUUUGAUUUAUUACUGUAUGUCCCAGAAGAUGCAUUUCUCCCUUUGUAAUCUAAGACCUCUAUACCAGCAGAAGCUAGUGUUACAGACAGAGGAAGCAACUACACAUCUGUGGGGUUAUAGGGAGAUUGGCCACUAUCAUUUCCAGUCCUUGAUUCUCAGAUUCAUAAGUCCUGAAUAUGGGAGAAACAGUACCCAUAGUCACUCAUUCAGAGUAUAUACUGCAUCCUGAAGAAUAUACACCCCACCCACAAGGUGUGGCCAACCAACUGGCUCCAUAACUGAGUCUUCAAAAGACUAAUCUGCCCUUCUCACAGGCCAGAUACAUCAGGGUAAUAAGGAACAUGGUAAGACCAAUGAAUGCCAUAAACCUGAACCCACUGCAACAUUUUCUACAAAGUGAGUUUCUUUGUCAGAAGUGAUGCCAUGUGAGACAUUGUGAAGGAGAAUAAAGCAUGUUGUAAAUGCAAGGAUGGUGAUAUUGGAAGAAUUGUGAAAAAGCAAUUCCACAUACAGAAUUAGUGUCUAUUCCAGUGAAAAUAAAGUGCACUCUUCACAUGAUGAAUGUGAUCUAAAAUAAUUGACAUGGUGGCUGGCAGAAGCUCAAUCACUAUUUAAAAUCUAGCCUUGAAAGUAGCAUUUAUCACUAGUGUAUUAGUUGAAACAGUCAAAAAGUCUCCCAAGUUUCAAAGGGAGGGGUCAUAUACUCCACUUAUUGAAGGGGAAGUAACUGGGUUCUGAAGAACAUGUGGAAUGUUGGAUGAAAAAAAGUUACACAACUCCUGGAAAAUGCAAUCUGCCAUUCUGCGACUUGAUGUUUUUACCUAGUAAUAUGUCUUGGAGAUUACUAUAGAGUCAUAUAAUGACAUAUCUUUCUCAUUAUUUUUACAGCUGGAUAUUAUUCUAUUGUGCGAUUAUAUCAUAGCUCAAUCAACCUGCUCUUUAAUGAAGGUCAUUUGAAUUAUUAUACAAAGUAAUUUUGCAUUACAAAAUUAUUUAUUAUACAAAUAAUGCUGUAAUAAGUAGACUUGUUCAUAAAUUGCUCCUUUUUGUUUUUAUUUUUUGUAUCUUCAGGGUAAAAAUAUGCAUUGUAAAUAUUCUAUUUUUGCUUUUGUGAUUCAGAUACAGUUUAAAUAAUGAAAUAUUACGUUCUUUCCUUGAGAUGAGCCCCUCUUCUUCACAGAAUCUUAGAUGAAUGCAUGUGAAAUGUAAAUUAACAUACAAUAAAAAUCAAACAUCUCAGAUAUAUUUCAAAAUUAUAAUACACAUUAUACAAGAAAGAAGCAAUCAUUAAAUAGACAACCGUAUUAGAAUGUUCAUUCUGCAGUAUUGUGUGGUCUGUACCCUGAUGAGAACAAAUUAAUCCUUCUAGCCACUCAAACAAAUGUACAAAAAAAAGAAAGUCUUGAAAAACACCAUUGAUUUGUGAGAUGCCAGCAUGAAAUUUUUAUGAUUACGUGGGAUGCUGCUGAAAACAGUGAUCCACACUUUUCAAAUCUAUUUAAAAACAGAAUUGAAUUUUGAUCCAACUGAG